GCCCUCGUAGCUCAGCGGAUAGAGCACCGGCCUCCGAAGCCGGAGGCGCUGGUUCGAUUCCAGCCGGGGGCACCA
rnacentral:tRNA from 1 species